AACGAUAAUCAUUAUCAUGCAUACAUCAAGGAGAGCUCUUAACUAUAUUAAUAUAAAACAAAUAUGAACUGGAAACUGCUAACUGGAAUCGAAUUCACUCUUAUUGUUGGAAUAUGUUAUGUAUCCUGUGUACAUGG